rnacentral:rRNA from 1 species
UACGUAGGGGGCAAGCGUUGUCCGGAUUUAUUGGGCGUAAAGAGCGUGUAGGCGGCUUUACAGGUCCGUUGUGAAAACUCGAGGCUCAACCUCGAGACGCCGGUGGAAACCGUAAAGCUAGAGUCCGGAAGAGGAGAGUGGAAUUCCUGGUGUAGCGGUGAAAUGCGCAGAUAUCAGGAGGAACACCUGCGGUGUAGACGGCUUACUGGACCAUAACUGACGCUGAGGCACGAAAGCGUGGGUAGCAAACAGG